UCAAGGCCCCGAUAUACGCACGGCAAAGUUCUUUUUCGUUCUUUACUUAGGAGUAAAAAGAAGUUGAAGAUACCUUUGCAGUGAUAUACUGUUAACGAACAUCCGCCGUCCUUGCUGCCGAGAGAGCGACCUUUAGAUGAAUAUGUAAAUACUUACUACUUCCACUUAAACUAAACACAACAAAAAUGACAGCGGUGAGAGAGCGCUAGUUAAGAAAUCAUCUGAUCAUAGCGAUGUGGAUAUGUUUGCACCAGCUCUGCAAUCACCGGCAUCAUCUACAGAUGAGGCCAAAUCUCUGUGGUUUAUCCCCACUCACCUCGACCCCGGAUCUUCUGCCGGCUGGUUGGCUGUUGGGUGUGUCAGUCAGUGAUGCUUUCCAUCCGUUUAAAGAGUGGCCAA